rnacentral:rRNA from 1 species
UACGGAGGGUGCAAGCGUUAUCCGGAUUUACUGGGUUUAAAGGGUGUGUAGGCGGGCUUUUAAGUCAGUGGGGAAAUCUCCGGGCUCAACCUGGAAACUGCCAUUGAUACUAUUAGUCUUGAAUAUUGUUGAGGUAGGCGGAAUAAGUCAUGUAGCGGUGAAAUGCAUAGAUAUGACUUAGAACACCGAUUGCGAAGGCAGCUUACUAAGCAAUGAUUGACGCUGAGGCACGAAAGCGUGGGGAUCAAACAGG